rnacentral:rRNA from 1 species
AGAGUUUGAUCAUGGCUCAGAUUGAACGCUGGCGGCAGGCCUAACACAUGCAAGUCGAACGGUAACAGGAAACAGCUUGCUGUUUCGCUGACGAGUGGCGGACGGGUGAGUAAUGUCUGGGAAACUGCCUGAUGGAGGGGGAUAACUACUGGAAACGGUAGCUAAUACCGCAUAACGUCGCAAGACCAAGGAGGGGGACCCUCGGGCCUCUUGCCAUCGGAUGUGCCCAGAUGGGAUUAGCUUGUUGGUGGGGUAACGGCUCACCAAGGCGACGAUCCCUAGCUGGUCUGAGAGGAUGACCAGCCACACUGGAACUGAGACACGGUCCAGACUCCUACGGGAGGCAGCAGUGGGGAAUAUUGCACAAUGGGCGCAAGCCUGAUGCAGCCAUGCCGCGUGUAUGAAGAAGGCCUUCGGGUUGUAAAGUACUUUCAGCGGGGAGGAAGGGAGUAAAGUUAAUACCUUUGCUCAUUGACGUUACCCGCAGAAGAAGCACCGGCUAACUCCGUGCCAGCAGCCGCGGUAAUACGGAGGGUGCAAGCGUUAAUCGGAAUUACUGGGCGUAAAGCGCACGCAGGCGGUUUGUUAAGUCAGAUGUGAAAUCCCCGGGCUCAACCUGGGAACUGCAUCUGAUACUGGCAAGCUUGAGUCUCGUAGAGGGGGGUAGAAUUCCAGGUGUAGCGGUGAAAUGCGUAGAGAUCUGGAGGAAUACCGGUGGCGAAGGCGGCCCCCUGGACGAAGACUGACGCUCAGGUGCGAAAGCGUGGGGAGCAAACAGGAUUAGAUACCCUGGUAGUCCACGCCGUAAACGAUGUCGACUUGGAGGUUGUGCCCUUGAGGCGUGGCUUCCGGAGCUAACGCGUCAAGUCGACCGCCUGGGGAGUACGGCCGCAAGGUUAAACUCAAAUGAAUUGACGGGGGCCCGCACAAGCGGUGGAGCAUGUGGUUUAAUUCGAUGCAACGCGAAGAACCUUACCUGGUCUUGACAUCCACGGAAGUUUUCAGAGAUGAGAAUGUGCCUUCGGGAACCGUGAGACAGGUGCUGCAUGGCUGUCGUCAGCUCGUGUUGUGAAAUGUUGGGUUAAGUCCCGCAACGAGCGCAACCCUUAUCCUUUGUUGCCAGCGGUCCGGCCGGGAACUCAAAGGAGACUGCCAGUGAUAAACUGGAGGAAGGUGGGGAUGACGUCAAGUCAUCAUGGCCCUUACGACCAGGGCUACACACGUGCUACAAUGGCGCAUACAAAGAGAAGCGACCUCGCGAGAGCAAGCGGACCUCAUAAAGUGCGUCGUAGUCCGGAUUGGAGUCUGCAACUCGACUCCAUGAAGUCGGAAUCGCUAGUAAUCGUGGAUCAGAAUGCCACGGUGAAUACGUUCCCGGGCCUUGUACACACCGCCCGUCACACCAUGGGAGUGGGUUGCAAAAGAAGUAGGUAGCUUAACCUUCGGGAGGGCGCUUACCACUUUGUGAUUCAUGACUGGGGUGAAGUCGUAACAAGGUAACCGUAGGGGAACCUGCGGUUG